rnacentral:rRNA from 1 species
CCUACGGGGGUCUGCAGUGAGGAAUAUUGGUCAAUGGACGAGAGUCUGAACCAGCCAAGUAGCGUGAAGGAUGACUGCCCUAUGGGUUGUAAACUUCUUUUAUAUGGGAAUAAAACGUUCCACGUGUGGGAUUUUGUAUGUACCAUAUGAAUAAGGAUCGGCUAACUCCGUGCCAGCAGCCGCGGUAAUACGGAGGAUCCGAGCGUUAUCCGGAUUUAUUGGGUUUAAAGGGAGCGUAGGUGGAUUGUUAAGUCAGUUGUGAAAGUUUGCGGCUCAACCGUAAAAUUGCAGUUGAAACUGGCAGUCUUGAGUACAGUAGAGGUGGGCGGAAUUCGUGGUGUAGCGGUGAAAUGCUUAGAUAUCACGAAGAACUCCGAUUGCGAAGGCAGUUCACUGGACUGCAACUGACACUGAGGCUCGAAAGUGUGGGUAUCAAACAGGAUUAGAUACCCUUGUAGUC